rnacentral:rRNA from 1 species
AUUGAACGCUGGCGGCAUGCCUUACACAUGCAAGUCGAACGGCAGCGGACCUUCGGGUGCCGGCGAGUGGCGAACGGGUGAGUAAUAUAUCGGAACGUACCUUUCAGUGGGGGAUAACGUAGCGAAAGUUACGCUAAUACCGCAUAUUCUGUGAGCAGGAAAGCAGGGGAUCGCAAGACCUUGCGCUGAUUGAGCGGCCGAUAUCAGAUUAGCUAGUUGGUGAGGUAAAGGCUCACCAAGGCGACGAUCUGUAGCGGGUCUGAGAGGAUGAUCCGCCACACUGGAACUGAGACACGGUCCAGACUCCUACGGGAGGCAGCAGUGGGGAAUUUUGGACAAUGGCGGCAAGCCUGAUCCAGCCAUGCCGCGUGAGUGAAG